UUUGUCCAGUCCUCGCAGAAUGGGGGAAUAAAUUAUAGCUAGGGCAUAGAACUACGCACUUCACAUUCUCACCUCGGCAUCUCCUCUUGUUCUCCAUAUACAUGCGUACACAGUCGUCAUUGAAGGCGCGAUAAUUUGUGACGCACACACCGCCGACUGCCAGAGCUCUGCCACAGCCUCUCCCUUACAGGAUCACCAAAGUCGUCCUAACACACAAUUGUCUGUCACGCUCACACCAAAGCUUCGCCACCACCUCUCCCUCACAGCAUCACCAGUACCAGACACGAAGGACCAAUCGGCGUCCAAAUCUGCACCACCGCUGAACAGAUCUUCACCAUUUCAGCCCCCCCUCCCCCCAAAGUAGAAGUGCAGUAGUCAGUCGCACCCAUAGUUCGCAUAUGUGCACAAAGCAAUUUGGGACUCGGACGGAGUUAGGCUGUGAAGGAGUUGGAAUCCGGUUACAAGGAAUGUGUCCAUACGAUGACAAUGCAUGGCUAUAGGGUUGUGUCCAAGGCUGUCCAGGACCGUACAGGUAGGUUCCAUAGGGUGAAGCAACUCCAAAACAAGUACAACUUGCUGAAAAAAGAUUGGCAGUCAUGCACACGCCUUAUGGACACAAGGCACGUCCCAACCGACAUAAGUUACAACGAAGAAACUUGGUUGAUACAAGCAUCAGGUGGGUCAAAUAUGAGAAGGUAAGAUAUGCUGUACAUAACUAUAAUCAGAGUGGGUGGAGAAGAGGAAAAAUAGAGAUGUGCUUGAUCAUUUGAUGUUGCUGCUGCUGUAUGGCUGUUGCCUUUUAUCGUGCAUUGCUAGUUGGGGUCCCCAUUUGUUGUAGUGUGUAGGUUUGUUGUUUGUUGAUUAUUUUGAGGCUUGUUGUUUGGUUUUUUCCUCUGUUGUGUCGGUCUCUCAUCAACUCUUUUAGCUUGAGUUAAUAUAGGAUUAAGUGAUUUUCUUGAUGUCAAUCUAAUUGGGAUUAUAAAACUUUACUAUGAUACUUUUUGCUCUUAUCCCUUUGAGAAAUGUUACAGAUCAUGAAAAUUUUGUCAUGAAAAGAAUCAUGAAAAAUUUGUGACCCUUAGAUUACCUUGAUUAGUGUGUGGUGCUUUAUUGUAAGUAUAAUUCAAAGGUCACAAAUUUUUCAUGAC